UGAGUAACCUGCCCUUAACUCUGGGAUAAGCCUGGGAAACUGGGUCUAAUACCGGAUAUGACUCCUCAUCGCAUGGUGGGGGGUGGAAAGCCUUUUUGUGGUUUUGGAUGGACUCGCGGCCUAUCAGCUUGUUGGUGAGGUAAUGGCUCACCAAGGCGACGACGGGUAGCCGGCCUGAGAGGGUGACCGGCCACACUGGGACUGAGACACGGCCCAGACUCCGUACGGGAGGCAG
rnacentral:rRNA from 1 species